rnacentral:misc_RNA from 1 species
AAAGUCGUAACAAGGUUUCCGUAGGUGAACCUGCGGAAGGAUCAUUAACAAUGCAUGCUGACAAGCUCGCUUGUCAGCUGCACAUACCAGGUCUGGCGACGCUUUACCGCCGAGCUAGUUCCUCCCUUUGGGGGGAGUCAGUUUUCAGGGUGACUGAGCCACGCACAUCCUGAACCUUUUAACACCUAUGCCUGAAGUGACUGAUCUAUAAAAAACAAAUGAAAUACAACUUUUGACAACGGAUCUCUUGGCUCUC